UGAACCUAACAGAAAAAUAAAUUCUAUGAAACAUUUAAAAUGCCAUGUUCAGCUAUGAUCUUGCACCUCACUAGCAUUAGCAUACACUACUGCUGGUACAUCUGGCAGUAGCUGUUUAUUAUGCUGGAAACUGAGAAACUGCCAUUAUUGAGAUAUUUCAGAAGUCUCAUCGAAUCAUUUGGGUUGGAAGGGAUUGUUAGUGGGUCAUCUAGUCAACCUCCCAUUAUUAUGCUUGGAUUAAUUCAGUUAUUCCAAAACCAUCCCUAAUGUCUAGCCACCCUUGAAUAGUUCCAGUUUCAUAACCCCAAUCUUGGCAACGCAUUUUACUGUCUAACUUUUCCGCCAAUUAUAUAGUUUCUCUUAAUUUUCAGACUGAAUUUUCACUUCUGCAGAUUAAACCUAUUAAUAGUCUGACUCUUGACCCAACAGUAAUCGUUGAUCCUUGACCUCUUUAGACUAUCCCUCCCUGUACGUACAUGUAGACAAGUUUUAAAUUAAUCUCCUUUUCUCUAGGCUGAAUAAAUCUUACAGUAUUUUCCAAACCUUUUAUCUGCCCUCUUUUGAAUUUGUUUCACUUGGGUCUGUUUUUUGAAGACAUGAUGCCCCAAACUGAACUCAGUGCUCCAAUUAAGGCCUAACAAUGCUAAACAGAGUGGAAUAACUACUUCAUUUAAGGUAAAUUUAAAAUAUUUUCUAUGUGUUUAAACUACAAAGUUAAUUCGUGUUUGUUCUGUCUGAAUGUAUGCUUUCCAAUAUAAAGUGUUCCCAUUUCAGUUCACAAUACUAUGACAAAAUGAAGUAGCAGCCAAAAUGAUUAAUGAGAAAGUGUUAGCUUAACAUGCUAAUUGUUCUUUUUAAGGAGACUAAGUAGCCCUGCAAAGAAAUACUUACAAUAUAUACUUGAUCAGAAACUGUCAUCAUGAAGAAUAUCAUUGUAUUUAUAAUAGUAAUGGCUGAGAAGGUCCAGAAUCCCUAUUUUCACACACUUUCAGACACACAACUUUCCAAACAAAUUACCCUUUGAGCUAGAAUUUCUCUACUUGACCUCAGACCAAAAGUGUGUGUGUGUGUGUGUGUGUGUUUGUGUGUGUGUAAGAUGGUCUUUUAGCAAUGAAUCAAGUGACUCUCUAAAUAAAGAUGAAAAAACUUUCAAAUUUGUCAAUAACUUAAGGCCCUGAUUCUGCAAAAAGUUAACAAGGUGCUUAAGUGUAUACACCAUUAACUUCAAUCGGAGCAAAGUUAGGCUAAAAGAGCACUUUUUGAAAAUCCAACUUUAUAACAAUGCAGUGUGUGUCUGUAAUUGGAGCAUCGCACAUUGAAAUACAUAGCUGUAUUUAUUUGAAUGAUUAUGCAUUCAAAUAAAUGCAAGUAGCAUUAAGGUAAUAGUCUGUACAGUGAGGCCAGAGCUUGAGGACUGUGAUGUCACCAGAAACUUAGACUGUAUUAAAGUACUGGUUUCCUAAUCGAUACUGUCUUCUAUUAUUACAUGGAUCCAUUAAGAAAAUUCUCUCCUACUUCCUGUUCUCUAACUUCCACUUUAGAGAGAGAGAACAACAGAUGCCUGAAAAAUCUACCCUUCAUAAAACAACCCAGGAAAUGAAAAGUGAAAGCAAGUAAGAGAUAAGUAUCACAAUCAGUUGCGCCCAGCAAAGAGGCGGGAUGUAUAGCUGGUGUGUGAGAAAUGCAGGCAAAACAGAUUGUGUCCAAGUGCCAGAUCUGUACAAGCUGCUCACAUUCCACGUGAGGGCUGAGACAGAUGGUCACAUUAAGAGAAUCGUCUCAACCACAAACAAGCUGAGGCAACUGAGUGUGCAAACACAAGUUGUGUAUCUAAAAAACAGGUGGGCCCCACAAGUCCUAAUUGACAAGUCAAAAACAGGAGGAUUGAUUUCUCUGAACCCAACAUGAAGAGAAAAUACCUUAUUUGCAUAAAAUGACCCUGCACUAACAAGACCUGAUUGUUUAGGGCAUAGCACAAUAGAUGGACUAUCUGACUCCUGCACACAGAUAACAGAUCAACACAGAUGGUUGUAAACAAGACACUGAUCUUAUUAAUGUCUGCUGUAAGAGCAAAGACAAAUGAGUAUCUUCAGGGUUAUUGUCAGUCUAUACUGAGGACUAGUCCCUUAUUGUGGGGUCCCUGAUUUUUCUUAGCUGGCUUCGUUCAGUCACUAGCAAUUCAUAUAUGUCAAUUUUCACAUAAGGCAAUGAAGGUGAGGUGCAACUUCACACCAAUAUAAAGGAAGGAUUCAUUUGAGAAUUCCUGUCUUUUACUGACUCUGAUAAUUAUGAUAUUUAGCUCUUGUACAGCACUUUUCAUCCAUAGAUCUCAAAGCACUUUAUAAAAGGAUGUCAGUAGUAUUAUCCCUAUUUUACAGGUGGGGAAAUUGAGGCACAGAAAAGGGAAGUGACUUGCCUAAGGUCACCCAGCAUGCAGUUGCAGAGCUAGCAAUAGAACCCAGGUCUCCUAAGACCCAGUCCAAUGCUUUAUUCAUUAGGCCAUGUUAAAUGUACAAUUAUAUUGUAAAAGUUGAUAGGGCCAAAUGUUAGCCUACUCUAUUUAUUUGUUUAGCAGAUGUUUAAUAUUUAAUGUUACAAUCUCAAAUAAAAUGCUUCCAGCACAGUAACCCUAUAAUAAUAAAUCAAUGCAUACACAUGACUGAAGCAGGGAAAUAUCAAUUAAAAAAAUCAAUUUCAGUUUCAAGUUUUUCAGGGGUCAUUCAAGAACUUUUUUAAUUAUGAAAAAUACCCUCAUUAAGGGCUAUACAAACCAUUUCAGUGCAUGUCAGCCAUUACCUUCUACAAAGCUAACAUUUUAAUAUAAAUUUAUAUUUACACUGUUAAGUUUGGAACAUUUUCUAGACAAGCAGCUAUAUUUUCUUUCACAUCUUGAGUGUAUAAAAGAGACUAUGGGUGCAAUUUACAGGCAAGUGAAAUUCAGAGAAAAGCUGAAUAAAUCAGCAUUACCUGAUCAUUUCAGUGUUUCUGCUCAAAACUUCUUCCACAAUAAAUGUGCCCUUGCACACUGUCAAACCCCUUACACACUGAAAAGCAAUUUCCUUAAAAUGACUGAGAAGUGCACUAGUAUGGCACAUUUAUCUAAUACCAAAAAAAUCUUCGUAGUGAAAAUAGUAUUUCAGGGCAGAAGGAGCCCAUGUAGCCUGGAUAAUGUCUAUCCAGCUGUAUGUGCCUGUCUAGGCCUUGUCUUUAAUAAGUUCCUGACUGCAGCUCUUAAAACAACCUUUGGUAAUUCAUGCUACACUGAGCUCUUAGGUCCUGAUUCCCCUAACUAUACAGCUAAUUUGCAAAUGCACAUGGACAGACUCUCAGCAAGCCAGCUCCAUGUGCAAGUACUAGAUUUGCACGAAUUGCACAUGUAUGUUUAUUAAAGUCAGAGUCCUAGUAUUUGCUUUUUUCUUAAAUUUUUGACUCGCGCUUGUUACCUUCCCAAAUAAUACUCAAUCUCUGACUCCCGCAAAAUUGUAUACCUCUCAAAUAGACCCCAUGUGAACCUUCUAAUUACACUCAAUUUAUGUAACUUUUGUCAUGUUGCUGGUUUUGGACAUAUCCUAUCCUACCCCCCAGUCUAUUACUCCCAGGGCCCUCAUUAACUAUGUUUGGACAAGUCCAGUUAGAUAACAUGUUAGUAACAGAACGUCCAGUAAUUGCUUUUUGUACUUUUCAGGAUUCUGAAGGGGAGGUUGGAUCUGGACAGCCCAUGCCCAACAAGCACCCUACCCAGACCUUGACAAGUCUCUUUAUGUUGUUAAAUGUCAUGUUUUUGUUUUCCCGCUGUAAGUAUUUAAUGUGAUUUUAGCAUUAGCUUGGGGGAAGGAGGAAAAGACCAAUUUCUCCUCCCUAUUCAAAUGUCUUUUUAAAAGCUUUAAUGCGACAACUGAAGGAUCAAGGGAAUGUUCAUUGAGUGUGGCACCUUCCACCUCCAACUUCAGAUAGUAGUCAUAGAUUACCACCAUCUGAUAGCUGUUUAGUGGUUUAAGUGCAACUCUUGCUAGAGAGAUGUCCACAUCACAAAAAAACUCCACCUUAGUUGGUGGUCCUUUCAGCCCUUUACUUCUCUGCCAAGACUAUCAAACCAACUAUUUUGUCCCAAAAGAUCUGUCCAGGUCAGAGUGCAGGACUGUUGGCAGGCAGUGCUGGGAAGUCUGCACUGCUGCUACUUGUGCUGUACCUAUUCUGAAACAGAGGACUUUGAUCUCCCAGGCUGUCAGUCUACCAUUUUCCACAAGCAGUAAUUUCACAGGAAAUAACACUUUAAUAAGCAAUUUGAACAACUGCAUAGUAGAUAUGUAGUAAUAGCUCAGUGAGCAUUGUUGUAGGUCCACAGGCAUCAGCUAGUGAGCACCCAAUUUCAGUAGAACCCUGAACAUUAUCCAGUGGAGGCCAAAAUGCAAAUGCCUGCAGUUUAAGCAAAUCCCAUAGCAAAAUGUAAUCAUUUUUCCAGCUACCUGCAGGGUACGUGAAUGUGUAUAUUGCUUUAAGUGUAAGAGAUUGUUUGGUGUUUGUGAGGAUGCAACUACACUCAGUGAUGCUAAGGAGUACACUAAGUACAGAUUGUAAACAGUUUAGGCUCUAAAUAUGAAUUACUUAAAUCAGAUAAAGAAUAUUUUCCAGAUUUUGAAUAGAGACUUUACAAAUAAUAAAACAGGUGCUCACUCUUCGAACUCCCAGUGAACAUUCAGCUAGAAUACAAAGAUCUGACUUCAAUGAUCCUAGUCAUAUUAAUUUCCUUAGAAGCAGAGGAAAAAGGGUAAAUUAUAAAUUUGUCACACUAAAGAACAAAUAUUCCUCCUUUUGCCAAAGCUUCUAAGAUACUGUUAUAAAUAGAUGAAGUGAGCUGUAGCUCACGAAAGCUUAUGCUCUAAUAAAUUUGUUAGUCUCUAAGGUGCCACAAGUACUCCUUUUCUUUUUGCGAAUACAGACUAACACGGCUGCUACUCUGAAACCUGUUAUAAAUAGUGGAGGGUAAAACAUUAACCCUUUCGAAGUCCUUAAGAAUGUCUCUUUAUAAGUCAAUAUACUGUUUGGAAGCUUCUGUUAUGGGCUGUUUAGAUUUUAUGAGAUAAACAAAAUGUUAAUUUGG